rnacentral:misc_RNA from 1 species
AAGUCGUAACAAGGUUUCCGUAGGUGAACCUGCGGAAGGAUCAUUAUCGAGUUAGGGUCUCCGGGCCCGAUCUCCAACCCUGUGUCUAUAUACCAUGUUGCUUUGGCGGGCCCGUCUACCGACCGCCGGGGGUCCUCGCCGACCCCGGGCCCGUGCCCGCCAGUGGCCCCUUCAAACCCUUGACCAAUUGUGAUGUCUGAGUACCAAACUUAAUAGUUAUAAAA